GUUUCAAGCAACUCACUUUGGCACCCCAAGAUUUGAUUCCUAUUCAUUUGGCCAGGCAGCAGUAUCCAUGUUAGGGAGCAAAGGAGAAGAAAGUACAACACCUUUGCUCAAGAGCUUUGGUUUUGUAAAGUCCGCAUUUGGUAUUAAUCAGAAAGGAAGUAGAACAACAUCAUACAUUGCAUCUCCUUGUGAAAGUAGCUGUGCACAUUGAGCUGUACUCUUCUCCAAAAAUGUUAAAAGUAAUAACUGCAAUACCUCAGUCUCAGUGGGAUUUCUUAUGGUGGUAGUGUUAUUGCUUACUAUUUCUGAAACCAGCUAUUGAUUUCUUAUGCAACGAAUGCUACAUCUGGUCAAACAGAAAACGUAUCUCCGGGCUUGUCCACUUUACCGGCAUUUGGAAGGAAAUAUGACGUUAAUAGUGUAGCCAAUGAACCUCUGUUGUGGUCCAAGGAUGUCAAUGUCUCAGGCUCCUCCAUUCUUGGAUAUCCAAGAGCUCCUGCAUUUGGUGUUCCAAGCAACUCACACGUUGGCACCCCAAGAUUUGAUUCCUAUUCCUUUGGCCAACCAGCAGUAUAUAUGUCAGGGAGCAAAGGUUUUCUUUAUUGUCCAUUUUCUCAUGUAUUGGAGCAGAUGAUAUAAGAUUAUAUAUUGUUCAAUGUGCAUAACUAUAUGCUCUAAAUUGAUCUGAAAUCCAUGUUACUGUUUUGUUAAAUAUAAUAUUACUACCAAGUAUUAUUUGUUCUUAUUUUAUAUUUUUGGAUAUCCUAAGUGUUUAAUCUUAGAUCAAAUUUGCAAACCAGGAAACGAAAGUACAACACCUUUGCUCAAGAGCUCUGGUUUUUGAAAGUCUGCAUUUGGUAUUAAUCAGAAAGGAAGUAGAACAACAUCAUACAUUGCAUCUCCAGAGAUAGAUAAUAUAAGACCCGGUGGUGCAAACAUUCAAUCCAUUUGUGGAAUGCAGACUUAUCAAGAUAAAAGCCAUGACGUGUUGAGGUUUGAGGACUACCAGUUAGGUGAUAAAGGUUUCAUUUGAAUUUGUCUACUUAGCUUUGGGAUGUGGGGCAGCUGCAUUUCUUUAGGUCCCUUGUUUGGUGAAAGACAGCCUUCUCGAAUAAUACUAUUUUGCAGCAAGAUUUAGCUUUCUGUGACAAGGAAACCAAUAUGGGAGAGGUGGUGGGGCGGAUGUCUGGUGACACUGUUCUUGUACAAGACGCAAUGGGGGAGUAGGUAGGGAAAUUUGUACCGCUGAUAUUAACAUGCCUUGCGGGCUUUGUCAUUGCAUUUACCAAAGGCUGGCUUCUCACAGUUGUUAUGUUAUCCAUCAUUCCUCUACUUGUCAUCUUUGGUGGAGUGAUGUCCCUCAUCCUAUCUAGGAUGGUGCCCCGUGGACAAGAUGCUUAUGCCAAGGCAGCAAGACAAUAGGCUCCUUUAAAAUGAAAAUAACCACCAGUAGAUGAGAUUGAUCUUGUUUCCUCGUCAGGCUGCAUCUUUUACAGGGGAGAAGCAAGUUGUGGCCAGCUAUAACGAGUCCCUAAUUAAAGAUUACCAUUCAGGGUCAAAUGAAGGGCUGUUAAGUGGAUUAGGUCUUGGGUCACAUUUUGCUAUUAUGUACUCCAGCUAUGCUUUGGCUAUCUGGUACGGUGCAAGGUUCAUCUUGGAAAAAGAUAUAUUGGUGGUCAAGUUCUCUAUGUUUCUGACACGAAGCUUCUCCAAUAAGUAGCAAGCAAUUUACUUUUUAAGGUUGAAGCCAAAGGAACUUUCUGUUUAGACGGCUUUUGCUGCAGGAUGUAGAACUCCAAAAAAUUGGAAAAGCGUAAGAGGAAUGGGGGCUGUUAGGCUUGUUUUCAAUUUGAAGCUGAAGUGCCAGAAAGCAAUACUACAAGAAAGGCUCUAUGCCUAUUCCUAACUUCUGAUGUAACUGCUUAAAGGUUGAAACUGAAGAAAGUUGAAGAGCUGUGAAACCCCUAUUCUUCACGGUUCAGAUCGUUUACUUAUGUACUGGAACAUUUGGAGAAGAGAGUGUGAAGGUUGUGUGUACUGAAGGACCAUAGAAAAUUAGAGAACUGGGUGUUAUGGGUGCUUAUGGGGAGAAUGGCAAUCUGCAUCUAGCCAGGGAAGGGGGCCGCUCCCAUCGCCGAAUUGUCUUUGCUGCUGAUAUGAUAGGCAGAGAGAUAGAAAGGGCCCUAUUAGAGGCAGUUGUUAAGAAUCCUAAUCGAUAUGUGUCUGAACACCAUUUUGCUGUAGAUUUGUUGACCACUCAGGAAUUUGCAGGGAUGAGGUCUAUUGGAAUGGUUUUCCCUUCAUGCUUUGACAGGCAACAACUCUUCAGUUGCAUCUGCAUUAUUAAGGUUUAAGAAUUUCUUAUUUCUUUUCGAGAUAUAUUUUUGAUAGAUGGCCUUAUUUCUUCUCGAGAUAUAUUUUUGAAGGAAUUGCACUAGAACAAAGAUUCUAGUGCAAUCGUGGAGGGGAAGAUUUAGAGGUCGGAUUGUUCAUCACAUAAAUUUAAGACUGAAAAGUAAGGAUUCGAGUGCACGAGUGCUGGGAUAGGACAAAUAAAUGUAUAUUAUGACAUAAAUAGUAUUCUCAUGAAACCAAAAUACAAAUGGCGCAUGUUCGACGUUUCUUUGUUGGAAAUUGUUACUAAAACUCACUGGAGGCCAAAUGAAUAUCGUAAGGUUUUGAAGGACGGCAAAUAUUUGUACCUUGAAAUUGAUGAUUGUAGACAAGAUGUUGGUACAACAGUGAGGAUGACCUGCUUUGCACACGUGCUUCUCCUUCCCCAUUGCAGCUGUUGUCCAGUGGGUUUGGGAUUCAUCUGAGUUCCCUUAAUAAAUCGAAUGCAAGCGAUGGUUCAUUCAAGCUCCCAGGAUACAUCUCAGGUCCUGAUGUUUACACAGUGAAGAUCUUUCAAUAUUUUUGGAUAUUGUAAGUGUUUAAUCUUUAGAUCAAAUUUGCAAACCAGGAGAAGAAAGUACAACACCUUUGCUCAAGAGCUUUGAUUUUGUAAAGUCCGCAUUUGGUAUUAAUCAGAGGAAGUAGAACAACAUCAUACAUUGCAUCUCCUUGUGAAAGUAGCUGUGUACAUUGAGCUGUACUCUUCUCCAAAAAUGUUAAAAGUAAUAACUGCAAUACCUCAGUCUCAGUGGGAUUUCUUAUGGUGGUAGUGUUAUUGCUUACUAUUUCUGAAACCAGCUACUGAUUUCUUAUGCAACGAAUGCUACAUCUGGUCAAAUAGAAAACGUAUCUCCGGGCUUGUCCACUUUACCAGCAUUUGGAAGGAAAUAUGACGUUAAUAGUGUAGCCAAUGAACCUCUGUUGUUGUCCAAGGAUGUCAAUGUCUCAGACUCCUCCAUUCUUGGAUAUCCAAGAGCUCUUGCAUUUGGUGUUCCAAGCAACUCACACUUUGACACCCCAAGAUUUGAUUCCUAUUCCUUUGGCCAACCAGCAGUAUACAUGUCAGGGAGCAAAGGAAACGAAAGUACAACACCUUUGCUCAAGAGCUCUGGUUUUUGAAAGUCUGCAUUUGGUAUUAAUCAGAAAGGAAGUAGAACAACAUCAUACAUUGCAUCUCCAGAGAUAGAUAAUAUAAGACCCGGUGGUGCAAACAUUCAAUCCAUUUGUGGAAUGCAGACUUAUCAAGAUAAAAGCCAUGACGUGUUGAGGUUUGAGGACUACCAGUUAGGUGAUAAAGGAACAUUAGCCUCUAAUGCAGCAACGAAUGCUACAUCUGGUCAAACACAAAACAUAUCUCCGGGCUCAUCCACUUUACAAACAUUUGGAAAGAAAUAUGACGUUAACAGCGUGGCCGAUGAACCUCUGAUGUGGUCCAGGGAUGCCAAUGUCUCAGGCUCCUCCAUAUUUGGAUCUCUAAAACCUACUUCAUCUGGUGUUUCAAGCAACUCACACUUUGGCACCCCAAGAUUUGAUUCCUAUUCCUUCGGCCAAGCAGCAGUAUCCAUGUCAGGGAGCAAAGGUACCCUUUUUCAUGGAUAAAGAAAACACUUCUGGUGUACUAAGGACAGAAUUUCCACUGGGGGCUGAUUCAUAUGUGGACAAAUAUAGGGAUCCAUGAC